GCAUAGUUUUGCUCUUCCCUAUUUCCCCACAUCCAUUUUCCUAUCCACCCAACUCGCAUUUCCACACACAAGGUGUUGAAUCAAAGUGUGGAAUCUGCUUCAUCAGAGAUGGAGUUAGGCAAAGAGAGGAGAAGGAAGCAUUAGGAAAUGGUGCAAUUUGACUGCUGCUAUUAGAAUCUGGGAACAAUAGAGUCUCUAAGAAAGAGUUUAAAUUUAUUUAUUCCAUAAAAUAUUAAUGGAAUAACAAUAUUACUGUUCAAAACACAAGGAACAUAUAAGAAAUUCUUGAUUUGUUCAAAGAAGAGCAAGAGGGCCUACUAUGGCUAGAGUAGAAUAAGCAAAGGAAAUAAUGUUGGCGAUUAGGCUACAGAAGUAAAAAGAUCAUAAGGAAGAAACUCAUAGGACACUGGGAUUUUUCCUGAGUUAAAAGAUACUGGAAGUUUGGAACAGAGAAGUAACAUGACAUGAUAUAUAUUUUUAAAAGAUAAUACUGGCUUCAAAGUGGAGAACAGACUUAAAGGCAAACAAUGGAUGCUGGAAGACAACUGGGAGGCUAUUUCAAGAAAUCAGAUGGGGACUGGGGUUGUGGCUUAGUGGUAGAGCCCUCACCUAGCAUGUGUGCAGCCCUGGUUUUGAUCCUCAGCACCACAUAAAUAAAUAAAAUAAAACUGUUGUAUCAAACUACAACUAAAAACUAAAUAUAUAAUAAUAAAAAAGAAAGAAAUCAGGUGGUUUGACCCAAAUGAUAGAGGAGGUAAAGAUAUAAUUACAUAGACUCUGGAUAUACUAUAAAGGAUUUGAUGAUGAACCAAUUAUUUGGUAGGAGAAUGAGGAAGAAGUCAAACUGAUUCUAAAGUUUUGGGCCUUGGAAACUUGUAGAAAGAUAUUGUCAUUUAUGGAAAUAAGAAAAAAAAUGUGAGAGGAUAAGGUUUGAUUUAAAAAUUAAAUGUACAAAAACAGGGGUUUGGUUUUGUACAUAGUAAGAUUAAGCUUUCUAUUUGACAGAAGUAACAAUUUGAUAUACAAAGUUGAAGUAAAGCCUGGUCAGCAUAUGUACAGUAUUUUAAAGAUAUGAAAAAGUAAAUGUGUGGAUGGAGAAGAGAUCUCAGGUCAAAGACUGAAAAAGAACAGUUGAUACUGCAUUUAAAAUAUUUGUAUUUAGGAAAAAAAUAUAAUCAAAGAAUCAAACAUCACCUUUAAAUAACUACAUUAGUGUAAGCCAGGAAUAGUGGUUCAUGCCUGUAAUCUCUGCUACUUGGGAGGCUAAGACAAGAGGAUUAAACAUUCUGGACAACUUAGCAAAGACUCUAUCUCAAAGUAAAAUAAAAAGAGCUGGAGACAUAGUUUAGCAGUAUAGUGCCCUGAGUUUAAUACCCACUACCACCAAAAAAAAUAAUAAUCUUUAAAAUAAAAACAUAUCAAUAUACAAAAUAUAUAAUUAAAAUGGUUUAAUUAAAAGUUAAAUAAUUAUCAAAAAUAUUUCCAAAUACAGAGAUCAUUUUCUAAAUAAUGCUUAAAGUCACAGAGAGUUACCUGAGGUUGAAGCUUGCAAUCAGUAACUGUUAAAGACAUUAAUGAUCAUACAAUUAGUUGUAUUUCUUUUUGUGAAGAUAUUUUCAUAUUACAAAAUGUAUUUACUUCAUCUGAAGUGUAACAAUAUGAUUAUCUCCUGAGAUACCAAAUUAAGAUUUUGCUUCUUUGGCAGUCAAAAUACAGUAUAAAUAUCUACAAAUGUGAAAUUAAAUAUUUUACUCCUUUUGACAUCUCCUAAGAGGAUACAUGCACAUUCAGCUGUCAGAUAAAGCUCUACAAUCCACUGCAUUCAUAUUGCAUGAUUACUGUCAUUGACAUACCUGGAAUGAGAAAGUAAGAAUUAAUAUUGGUCUACCAAAAGCACAGCAUUAAUCUUCCCUGUUUUAAGAAAAGAAUUACCUUUGAUGAAAAGAGUCACAUAUGUGGAGAGGGAGAAAACAAAUGAACCCUGUAGUAUACAGUAUUUAAUUGGAAUUGAAUAUAGGUGUAAACUCUGAUUUUCAAUGAAUAUAGAGAAAUAAAUAUGAAUACAUUUUAUAUGUAUUUAACAAGAUUUGUCCACUAAGAAAUCAUGGUAGCAAUGAUAUCCCAAUAGCAAUGAAUAUACUUAUUCCCUAAAUAUUGUAUUCUAACUAUUAUUCUCCAGCAAAUAGAAUUAAGGCUUCAUAGAGAAACAGUUGAUAGUAGGACUGGUGCAGGAAAAAAUAUAAGAUGACCCUUAUAUGUG
rnacentral:lncRNA from 1 species